rnacentral:rRNA from 1 species
CCUACGGGAGGCAGCAGUGGGGAAUAUUGCACAAUGGGGGAAACCCUGAUGCAGCGACGCCGCGUGAGUGAAGAAGUACUUCGGGAUGUAAAGCUCUAUCAGCAGGGAAGAAAAUGUCGGUACUUGUUUAAUAAGCGCCGGCUAACUACGUCCCAGCAGCCGCGGUAAUACGUAGGGGGCGAGCGUUAGCCGGAUUUACGGGGUGUAGAGGUAGCGUAGACGGCAGCACAAGUCUGGAGUGAAAUGCCGGGGCUUAACCCCGGAACUGCUUUGGAAACUGUGCAGCUAGAGUGCAGUAGAGGUAAGUGGAAUUCCAAGUGUAGCGGUGAAAUGCGUAGAUAUUAGGAGGAACACCAGUGGCGAAGGCGGCUUACUGGACUGUAACUGACGUUGAGGCGCGAAAGCGUGGGGAGCAAACAGGAUUAGAUACCCGAGUAGUC